GCCAUUGUGGCAUAGAGGUUUGAGUGUUGAACUAUGACUCUGGAGUCCAGGGUUUGAUCCCCAGCUUGGCU